rnacentral:misc_RNA from 1 species
GUUUUACAAUAUUAAUAUGUCAUUCAAAUACAUCAAUGGUUGUUUGUAAAGAUACAUAGACAAAGCAAGCUUUGACUACAGAUUGUGCACAGGUGGAUAUUGGUUUUGUUAAGAGUGCACAUGCCAAAAGGCCAGCACAUCCUUUUAAAAUCAAUAAUGAUCCUUCCGCAGGUUCACCUACGGAAA